rnacentral:lncRNA from 1 species
AAAACUAAAAAUGUCAAUGUUGUCGGGAUAUUAAUUUGUUGAGUUAUUUACACUAUAUGACAGUUUUAAGUUUUUAAUAACACUAUAAGGCAGUUAUGACUACUGAGACAGUUUUUGUUAACUAAAGUCACUAAUAUAAUUGAAAUCACCCCACAUGUUUUGGAAAUUAGUUACUUUUCUUUUUUUUUUCUCGAACCAAACGUUUGAAACCUAAAAAUAUAUUAAAAAAAAAUCAGAAAUUGUUAAAGCUUCUUCACAUCGUCACAAUUUUCCGCCGCAUCCGGAGCUAAUGCUUGUCGCCGCCCUAUACCAUCGUGGUCUGUUGAAGGUCACUGGAUUGGUUUUUUUUUGGCCGCCGCAACUCUUCUUUCUCUGCUGCGUCUUUUUUUUUGCCACAACAUUUUUUUAUCUGCCGCAAUUCUUCCUUCUCGUCUUCGGUAUGUUUUGCAACUCGUCUCUGAAGUCGCCG